rnacentral:rRNA from 1 species
UCGAACGCGGGGCUUCGGCCCCGAGUGGCGCACGGGUGAGUAGCGCGUGGGAACCUGCCCUGGAGUGGGGGAUAACCGAGGGAAACUUCGGCUAAUACCGCAUGCGCCCGGAGCAAUCCGGGGAAAGAUUUAUCGCUCUAGGAGGGGCCCGCGUCGGAUUAGCUAGUUGGUGGGGUAACGGCCUACCAAGGCGAUGAUCCGUAGCUGGUCUGAGAGGAUGAUCAGCCACACUGGGACUGAGACACGGCCCAGACUCCUACGGGAGGCAGCAGUGGGGAAUAUUGGACAAUGGGCGAAAGCCUGAUCCAGCAAUGCCGCGUGAGUGAGGAAGGCCUUAGGGUUGUAAAGCUCUUUCGGCGGGGACGAUGAUGACGGUACCCGCAGAAGAAGCCCCGGCUAACUUCGUGCCAGCAGCCGCGGUAAUACGAAGGGGGCGAGCGUUGUUCGGAUUUACUGGGCGUAAAGGGCGCGCAGGCGGUCCUGUUUGUCGAGUGUGAAAGCCCCGGGCUCAACCUGGGAACUGCGCUCGAAACGGCGGGACUAGAGUUCGGGAGAGGAGAGUGGAAUUCCCAGUGUAGAGGUGAAAUUCGUAGAUAUUGGGAAGAACACCGGUGGCGAAGGCGGCUCUCUGGACCGAUACUGACGCUGAGGCGCGAAAGCGUGGGGAGCAAACAGGAUUAGAUACCCUGGUAGUCCACGCUGUAAACGAUGUGUGCUAGACGUUG